rnacentral:lncRNA from 1 species
UUCUUCUUUUUUUUCCUUUCUCUCUUUUUUCUUUUCUUUUCCUCUUCUUUUUUUCUGUCCAAGGGGAGCUGCGGUGAGUUGGGGAGUGGCUCUGGGGGUUGCCAUCAGCUAAAGUUAAGAGGUUAGGACCAAAAACCUGUCACCCUGCUCCAUUCUAGGGAAGACUGGCUCACCCUGCUUGAACACGUCUCUUCUCCCCUUUCCAGCCACCACAGCUGAAAUGCCCUCUGGUGUAGGGGUCUCUCCCAUUCUGGAAAUGAGAAGCUGAACUUACUUGCUCUGGGUGGCAGGGGAGGUGGGUAGUGGAGCAUGCUUCUAGAGAGGGGAAGGAUGGAGGUGGAAAGGGGGCAAGAGACAGCUUCGUGCUGCCUUUCAACUGUUCUGUUUGUAUUCGCAAGAAACUUUCUUCCUCCACAACUGAAGUGCCACGGCAGGUUUGUUUUUCUGCAAAUAUGAGAAGAGUGCAAGAGCUAUGGUGUCUUGCCAUGGGAAUCUCAUUCUCUCACCCAUUCAAGACUUUCUUUCCUUUUCUAGAAUCAGUGGCGAUUAAUAGGGUUAAGAGAAGUUGUUUCCUCUUCAAAACAGAUGUUAAAACAUGCUUUAAAGAAAGAAUUACCAUUGUGCCAUUUGGAUGCAAUAUUUUCACAUAAUGAUAUUUAUCCAAGAUACCCUGUCAUAGUCUACUCCUGUGUGUCAAAACCGGUCACUACAUUUAAGAGAACACUAUGAGGAAGCUCACGGUGCUUAUCUCUACAUAAUUUCAUUCUAAAUGAAUUCUGCUUCCCUGCUUACAUGGCUGUGUGUGAUGGUUCUUACUGAUUGGAAUGAUCCGGGAGAGUGUAGAAAGCAUUUUGUUGAUGUAUUUAAAGGCAUACAUACCACAUGGACCUAGAGAAUGCUUAAUG